GACGUAGGAGGCGAGCGUUGUCCGGAUUCAUUGGGCGUAAAGAGCGCGCAGGCGGCUUGGUAAGUCGGAUGUGAAAUCCCGAGGCUCAACCUCGGGUCUGCAUCCGAUACUGCCCGGCUAGAGGUAGGUAGGGGAGAGUCGGAAUUCCUGGAUGUGAGCGGUGGAAAUACGCAGAUAUCAGGAGGAACACCGGUGGCGAAGGCGGCAUGCUGGACCUUCACUGACGCUGAGGCGCGAAAGCUAGGGUAGCGAACGGG
rnacentral:rRNA from 1 species